GACGAACGCUGGCGGCGUGCUUAACACAUGCAAGUCGAACGGAAAGGCCUGCUUUCCCUUGUGUGUUGCGGGUACGCGAGUGGCGAACGGGUGAGUAUCACGUGAGUGAUCUGCCCCCAACUUUGGUAUAAGCCUGGGAAACUGGGUCUAAUGCCCGCUAGCACUGCAGGGUGGGGCGUGUGGUGGAAAACGAUUGGCUAGGGGUUGGGGAUGAGCUGGCGGCCUAUCAGCUUGUGGGUUGGGGAAUGGCCUACGAAGGCGGCGACGGGUAGCCUGUCUGGGAGGGCGGGCCGGAACAUUGGGACUGAGACACGGGCACGAAGACUCCGGCAGGAAGCCGUCGGGAAUAAUAAACAAGGGGCGGAAGACUGAGGCCGCGAGGCUGAGUGGGGGAUGCCGGCCUUCGGGUUGUAAACUCCUUGCGACAGCGAGGAAGCCACCGGGUUGGAAGGGUGGUGACGGUAGUGGGAGAAGAAGCACCGGCUAACUACGUG
rnacentral:rRNA from 1 species